rnacentral:rRNA from 1 species
GAUGAACGCUGGCGGCGUGCCUAAUACAUGCAAGUCGAGCGAACAGACGAGGAGCUUGCUCCUCUGACGUUAGCGGCGGACGGGUGAGUAACACGUGGAUAACCUACCUAUAAGACUGGGAUAACUUCGGGAAACCGGAGCUAAUACCGGAUAAUAUAUUGAACCGCAUGGUUCAAUAGUGAAAGACGGUUUUGCUGUCACUUAUAGAUGGAUCCGCGCCGCAUUAGCUAGUUGGUAAGGUAACGGCUUACCAAGGCGACGAUGCGUAGCCGACCUGAGAGGGUGAUCGGCCACACUGGAACUGAGACACGGUCCAGACUCCUACGGGAGGCAGCAGUAGGGAAUCUGCCGCAAUGGGCGAAAGCCUGACGGAGCAACGCCGCGUGAGUGAUGAAGGUCUGCGGAUCGUAAAACUCUGUUAUUAGGGAAGAACAAAUGUGUAAGUAACUAUGCACGUCUGGACGGUACCUAAUCAGAAAGCCACGGCUAACUACGU